CCAAAGGCUCUUUUAAGAGCCACUUUUCAGUUUCACUUUAAGGAGCU
rnacentral:ncRNA from 1 species